UAUCAAAUAUAUUUCAUUUAUUCACAUUUCCCUAAUUAUUUCAUAAAUGCUUUUUGUUUUACAGCUUUUUGUUUGAAUCAGGACCAUAAUGAAGGCAUCCAUUGCAGCAGGUUGAAAAUGGCUCUUAGGAAUGCCUGGGUGGCUCAGCUAUUGAGCAUCUGCCUUUGGCUCAGGGCGUGAUCCCAGAGUCCUGGGAUCAAGUCCCAAAUUGAGCUUCCUGCAUGGAGCCUGCUUCUCCCUCCGCCUGUGUCUCUGCUUCUCUCUCUCUCUCUCUCUCUCUCUCUUUCCCUCUGUGUGUGUGUGUAUGUGUGUGUAUUGUCUCCCAUGAAUAAAUAAGUAAAAUCUUAAAAAAAAAAAAAAAUGGCCCUAAGUUCUCUUUUACCUUACCUCUCUAUUUCUUUUAUUCCCCUUUGCAAUUUUUUAUCACCCUUUGCAAUUUAUCUUUUGACACAACCACAUCAUUUACCCUAUACAUUUUCCCAGUCUAGAGUUAGCUGCCUGUAUCCCUGUCCUGUCCUUUAAUGUAUUUAUCUAUCCCUGUGUUUCCAAUAAACUGGUAGCUAAAUCCAGAGGCUUGCAUGAUUUAGAUUUGCAUCCUGACAAGGACCAUGGGAUGACACCACUUCAUGGCAAUGUUUCCAUUAUCACUUUCAUUUCCAAGAGUCAGAGUUUGAGAUGAGUGCAUAUUUUGGAAAGGAUGAAUGUAUUUUUUCUCUCCUUUCCCACUUAACACAUUCUUGAUUCUUAGGGACUUGGGUUUUCUCCAUAAUUGUAGGACUAAACUAAAAUUUUGGAUAUAUUUUUCCUCCCAGAGGACAUUAACAAGAUUAAAUUUAUGAGUUUAUUUCCACGAAGUCAGAAUUUCUAAAUCCAAGACCCUCCAAUCAAGUAGACACUGUCCCAACAAUGGGCAGGACACCCAGCUAUUACCUCUCUUCUGCUAUAGUUCUGGAUGCACAUGUUGAUGUGGAAGUGUUCUAUGAUCGAAGAGACCUGGAUUGUUCAGCCAACUCACAGAGGACAGCGGUCCGGAAGAUUGUCUGUACUCCUUGGGUGUUUUACAUAAGGGAGAAAUAAACUCUGUGUUAACCCACUGAAAUUUGUCCAUUACUGCAACAUUGCCCUGCCUAGCCUGACUAAUACAUGUGCUUGAUUGCGGAUCUCAAAACAUUGUGCAGGUAUAAAUUCUGUGUAUGUGUGUGGUAUGUGUAUGUGUAUGUGUUUGAGAAAUAGAGUUGGUUAGCUAGCUAGAUGAUAGAAUUGACUAUGGUGAGGGUUUGAUUAUAGAAUAAGAGGCAAAUUUCUUAAUGCUUGAGUUCUGCCAGUCAGAACUUUUAGCUGUAGGUUGCACAAAUGAAUGUUUAAGUAUAUUUAAACAAAUAUGUGGUUUGCAUAAGUGUUUAUUUAUACACAGUAUAAAACGUACUCUCUCAUCUUUGUGCUUUGGUAUAUAAAUGUAUUAUGGUCACUCAGAGUUGCUUCUAUAAUCCACAAAUUGCAUAUAUUGUAUAUAUUAAACUUGAACUAAGUAGUCAAUUAAAAGCUCAAAGCAAUACUGUAUCUUUCAGAUACAUUCCAAAUUAACUACUGAAUCACAGGUAAUGCGUGUUGCACAUUCAUACCAAUAGCAUAAGCAAAGUCCAGAGCUAGACUUAGUUUUUCUUAUUUCCUGAAGUUUCUUGAUUACAGUCUGAUCCUUCAUGUUGUUCCAACAUAGAGUGAUUUUAAAGGAGAAUUUAAUUUAAUAUAAGUCUGAAUAGCCUUCGGAAUGUUAGAA
rnacentral:lncRNA from 12 species